UUUGUAUUUUUUUUUUGGUUUCUUAAGAGAGGGAGAGAAAAAGUUCACAAAUUCUCUCUAGUUCCCCUCAUCGGAGGCAUGGCCACUGUUCACCGGUGCAUAAGACCCUAAAAUGCUCAUUUCCACUUCCUCAACCUGAAUCUAUGGCUACCAGUGCAUAAGACCCACCCUAGAAACUUAGAUCUAACAUUAUACCUUUCGAAAUCUAUGAAAUCCAGCCUCCCUUCGGCUUCCCAACGAACUCUGAAUCAAGUGUUUUUUGAUUUGGCUGGAUUUAUCGAGAACGAAGAUAGUGACGGGAACAUGUAGCGGUAGCAACGGUAGAGAGGGCUCUUCUUCUUUGCUGGCGGCGGUGGUGGCAGGUGGAGAGUGUCAUCACUUGCGAUUUUCAGCAAAGCCUAAAGUAUUUUUGGUUAAUUGGGCUCUGCUAGUUGGGCCUCUUUUUGGGUUGUAUCGUUUGGGCCACCGGCCCGUUUGUAAUUGCUUUUGGGCUGCCAUGUUUGUAACCUGUUAACAAAUAAAUAAAAGUUAAUAAAUGUAUUUUAUUU